CCCUGCUAUCUUGUCCGCGAGGGAACUUUUGUUAGGGAUAAUGUGGUUUCUGAGUUUGGAGUAUUUGGAGCCUACCUGAGGAACAAAGACAAGGUCAUUAUAAAUGAUAAGUGCGGUUAUUUGUUGAGGACCAAAGCAGCUUCACUAAAUGAAGGUGGGGUGGUUGCUGGAUAUGCGUUUUUGAAUAGCAUAUUUCUGACAUGACAAGGUUAUCCACAGAGCUACGCAGCGGAUCCAUAUGUAGUCGUUACAUUAGCAUGUGGAGGC